GUGGGGAAUUUUGGACAAUGGGCGCAAGCCUGAUCCAGCAAUGCCGCGUGCAGGAAGAAGGCCUUCGGGUUGUAAACUGCUUUUGUACGGAACGAAACGGUCCUGGUUAAUACCCGGGGCUAAUGACGGUACCGUAAGAAUAAGCACCGGCUAACUACGUGCCAGCAGCCGCGGUAAUACGUAGGGUGCAAGCGUUAAUCGGAAUUACUGGGCGUAAAGCGUGCGCAGGCGGUGCUGUAAGACAGGCGUGAAAUCCCCGGGCUUAACCUGGGAAUUGCGCUUGUGACUGCAGUGCUGGAGUGCGGCAGAGGGGGAUGGAAUUCCGCGUGUAGCAGUGAAAUGCGUAGAUAUGCGGAGGAACACCGAUGGCGAAGGCAAUCCCCUGGGCCUGUACUGACGCUCAUGCACGAAAGCGUGGGGAGCAAACAGGAUUAGAUACCCGGGUAGUCC
rnacentral:rRNA from 1 species